CACACUUUUUAGAUGGCUUGCAAGACCGAAUCGCUAGAAAGGUAGAACAAAAGGUAUAUAAUGAUUUGCAUGAUCUUGUGGAUGCGGCGAUUCACAUAGAGCAACAAAUGGACAAAAGCCCGACAAGGAAUGGACACACACAAGCACAAAAGCCUAUAAGCAAUAGCUUUGUCAAAAUUGAAGACAAAGACAAGGCGAAGAAUCAUGAUGCUCGAUACAAGGAGGAAUCAACCAUAUCUUCAAAGGCGAUCACCACACUAGGUAACAAAACGUUUUCCUCAUGUAUUAAUCAUAAAUGUGAGGUUAUUUGUUCUAAGUGUAGGGACCAAGGUCAUAUGGCACAUGAAUCCAACCGACGAGAAAUCAUCAUCGAGGAUGACGGGGAAUCAAAGUCCAUAGUUGAGGUUGUGGUAAAUCUUGAAGAGAAAUAUGAGGUUAUGUCCAAGAAGGUAACCGAGUAUGUGAACGAAGAGAAAGAGGAACCGGUCGAAGAUCCCGACCUCGUGACUAAAGAAGUACCCACGAGUGUUGUGAAUGCGAAUGAAGAAAUGCAUGACGUCAAGAAAGAUGCAUUCGGAGUCAAGGAAAUCAUUGAGGAUUCCAACAACAAGAAAGUGAUGGAAAGCAAUGAAGAGGCCGACAAAUCGGAGAAUGUGAUAGUAGGCGAGAACUUGAACGAAGUCAAACGGGACAUAGGAAUGAUACGAUUGGAUUGGUUUGAGCAAAUAAAAGUCACGUCCAAGAAGGAAAAUGAUGGUUUCAAAGUGGUAAGCAAACCUUCGACGAUGACAAAUGACAUCACCAACAACCGCAUUUUUAUCAUAAGUCAAAAACUUGGAGCAACCGGUAAUUUCGUUCCUACUUUUAUUCUUGUAUAUGAUUCAUGUUUUGAUGAGUAUGUUAUGAAUCUUGAGCAACAAAUGCGAACUUUCCAAAUGGAUUAUCUCUAUAAAGUUCUCAAGGGAUGCACAUACUACACUAACGAGAUUGUUAUAAUAGAUCUUGUUAAUUAUUCGCAAGUACUAUUUUUUUUAUGAAAAGGUCAAAUAAGUGCAAGAAGAGGCAGCUACGUGCAUUUUCCAAGCUCAAAUUUUGCAUGCCGUAAGCAAGUUUUGAGAACAAAACCUUCAGAAGAGGGAGGGAAUGAUGCAUUCCUAGGAUCCAUUGGCAUGGUUAUGGACAAGGAACGUAAAGGGAGCAUAUGUGAAGCAUAACUAGAUGGAGAACAAUCAGACAAAGAGUCAGACAAUGGAGUUCAAAUGGAUGGAGCACAGCUGGAAGGAGCAGAACUAGGCGAGGACACACAGCCAAACCAAAAGAUGGAUAACAUGCUCGACGAAGCAAGAAAAGUCGAACCAAAAACUAGAGCAAACCGAGUGCCACUUCAGAAAAACCGAGUGCCACUUCAUGCAACCCGAGUGCCACUUCGAGCAAAUUCAGUGCCACCUCAUUCUGAGCUACCACUCACUCGAGCCAACGCACGAGCUCUUCAAAACGCUUCAACACUUCCGUUCAUCACGUGCUAAGCGAGCCACAGAUGGGAGCCACGAGUCUUCCUUGUUUUGGAUCAACAAGGCAAUCCCAACAGCUAGUUUCUUCCCAACUACCUCAUUAAAGUCAUCACCAACAGCUAGUUUCUUCCCAACUAUCCCAUUAAAUGCAUAGGCUCCCAUCCCCUUUGCAUGUACUUUCUCAUUUAAUUUAUGGUUGAAUCUCUAGCCUAUAUAAAGGCCUUUGUAUUGUCAUGUAAGGCAGACUAUUGCUGAAUCUAUCAAGUAUUUUCGAGUUUAAACAA